CAGCUUGCUGCUUCGCUGACGAGUGGCGGACGGGUGAGUAAUGUCUGGGAAACUGCCUGAUGGAGGGGGAUAACUACUGGAAACGGUGGCUAAUACCGCAUAACGUCGCAAGACCAAAGAGGGGGACCUUCGGGCCUCUUGCCAUCAGAUGUGCCCAGAUGGGAUUAGCUUGUUGGUGAGGUAACGGCUCACCAAGGCGACGAUCCCUAGCUGGUCUGAGAGGAUGACCAGCCACACUGGAACUGAGACACGGUCCAGACUCCUACGGGAGGCAGCAGUGGGGAAUAUUGCACAAUGGGCGCAAGCCUGAUGCAGCCAUGCCGCGUGUAUGAAGAAGGCCUUCGGGUUGUAAAGUACUUUCAGCGGGGAGGAAGGUGUUGUGGUUAAUAACCGCAGCAAUUGACGUUACCCGCAGAAAAAGCACCGGCUAACUC
rnacentral:rRNA from 1 species